CUGAACGUGGUGUGUAUUCGUAUUUCUCUAACGCUGACAGGAAACCGCUUAGCUCCUCAGAACCUCGCUCUCGGUUAAUGCAUGCAGAUGUUUCCAUUGAAACAAGCAAAGUGAUGGACAUCCUUGGAUAUGGGAAGGAGCUCAGAGAAAAACGCCAACGGAAUCUUAUGGCCUCCUGUAAACUAACGGACGCGCAGCAGCGGAGGUGGAUAUCAAAGAUCACGGACCUGAUAGAUGAAGGACCGAUCAUUAUACAAAGAUUACCGAAGAUGCGUCGAGCCAUUAUCGCACACCCAGAAACACUCCGAUGGUUUUAUAUGAGAAGACUGGAACUAGAAAUCCUGAUUUUAGAAGAGAUGAACCGACAAAACCGAUCAAGCAAUUCAAAUCUCGCGGUCAAUUGUUUCGAUGGGAUAUUUCGACAAGAACCAACGAGACGUAUGUUUAAGAUAGUUUUCGAGAUAUUGAAUCGAAUGUGUCCGGACGAAAGGAAUUUAUAACUACUUGACUGCAGCCAGAUACUUUUUAGAAUUCUAAGUUGAGAACGAAGAGGUCUGAUCAUCAAGUUGAUGACGUUCCCUAAUGGCUGCCUAACUUCGUAUUGAGAGAUAAUUGAAGACGCCCGUGCGGCUUAAACAGGUCGCAUCAAAUACGCACAACGCUUGUUUUCAUGAAAUUAAAAAUGUCAACUUCCUUGACACAUUUAAAUAAUGACAAUACACUGGUAUAAAAACAACGUUUGGUUAGUGAAAGUGUACAUAUUUGCUUAGAGAUAUUAAGAAUUAUUAUGGUAAAAUUGAACAUUAGGUAUUCUUGUUUCAAACCUUAUUUGAAAAAAGCACCAUUUACCGGUGUAUUUACAUCCAUUAACGUUUAGCUGUGAACCCCAAACAGUCAUGUUAUCCUGCACCGUGAAUACGCGCUUAUUUAAAAACUGAUUGAUUCCUGAAAAGUUAAAUUACUACUUGUUUUAUCAUUUAAAACAGUGUUCACGGUUUGAUUUUUUUUUACUCAUAAAAUAUAAUAAAACAAGCUUUAAUUAUAUAGUUAAGACAUUGUAAUAUUAAAAUCUAAAGAAUUCAUUUAUUCACAUUCUGUUUUUUGUAGUGUUAUUCUUUUGUUAAUAGGUAAAUAUGAAUAAAGAUUAAUUUCAUGCGAUCAUCACCGAAUAGUUUAGACAUUAUUAAUCUGUUAUGCAUUUUGUCAUAAAUAUUUUAACAUAUAUUUUCUGUUUAUGAAGAAACCGCUACAUGUAUUUGCUUUAAUAAUAAAAAGCCCUUUUGAAUAAUGUAUAGGGUCUAACAGCUGAAUAUGCCAUUCAAAUCAUGGUCAUAUUCAAUAACUUAAUAACAUAUGUACAUGCUCUGUUUAGUAAUGUCCAUU